UACAGAGGGUGCGAGCGUUAAUCGGAAUUACUGGGCGUAAAGCGCGCGUAGGCGGCUUUUCAAGUCGAUUGUGAAAUCCCCGGGCUUAACCUGGGAACUGCAGUCGAGACUGUCUAGCUAGAGUAUGGGAGAGGGAAGUGGAAUUUCAGGUGGUAGCGGUGAAAUGCGUAGAUAUCUGAAGGAACAUCAGUGGCGAAAGCGACUUCCUGGACCAAUACUGACGCUCAUGUGCGAAAGCGUGGGGGAGCAAACAGG
rnacentral:rRNA from 1 species